GGAUAGAUAGCUCAGUAGGAAGAGCGUUAGGUUGAAGCCCUAAGCGUCGGUGGUUCGAAUCCAUCUCUAUCCA
rnacentral:tRNA from 1 species